CUACGUGCCAGCAGCCGCGGUAAUACGUAUGUCACGAGCGUUAUCCGGAUUUAUUGGGCGUAAAGCGCGUCUAGGUGGUUAUAUAAGUCUGAUGUGAAAAUGCAGGGCUCAACUCUGUAUUGCGUUGGAAACUGUAUAACUAGAGUACUGGAGAGGUAAGCGGAACUACAAGUGUAGAGGUGAAAUUCGUAGAUAUUUGUAGGAAUGCCGAUGGGGAAGCCAGCUUACUGGACAGAUACUGACGCUGAAGCGCGAAAGCGUGGGUAGCAAACAGGAUUAGAUACCCUGGUAGUCCACGCCGUAAACGAUGAUUACUAGGUGUUGGGGGUCGAACCUCAGCGCCCAAGCAAACGCGAUAAGUAAUCCGCCUGGGGAGUACGUACGCAAGUAUGAAACUCAAAGGAAUUGACGGGGACCCGCACAAGCGGUGGAGCAUGUGGUUUAAUUCGACGCAACGCGAGGAACCUUACCAGCGUUUGACAUC
rnacentral:rRNA from 1 species